UACGGAGGGUGCAAGCGUUAUCCGGAUUUAUUGGGUUUAAAGGGUCCGUAGGCGGAUCGUUAAGUCAGUGGUGAAAGCCCACAGCUCAACUGUGGAACUGCCAUUGAUACUGGCGAUCUUGAGUGCGUGUGAAGUUAGCGGAAUGUGUGGUGUAGCGGUGAAAUGCUUAGAUAUCACACAGAACACCAAUUGCGAAGGCAGCUGGCUAACACGCAACUGACGCUGAGGGACGAAAGUGUGGGGAUCAAAC
rnacentral:rRNA from 1 species